rnacentral:rRNA from 1 species
UGCAGUCGAGCGGACAGAAGGGAGCUUGCUCCCGGAUGUUAGCGGCGGACGGGUGAGUAACACGUGGGUAACCUGCCUGUAAGACUGGGAUAACUCCGGGAAACCGGAGCUAAUACCGGAUAGUUCCUUGAACCGCAUGGUUCAAGGAUGAAAGACGGUUUCGGCUGUCACUUACAGAUGGACCCGCGGCGCAUUAGCUAGUUGGUGAGGUAACGGCUCACCAAGGCGACGAUGCGUAGCCGACCUGAGAGGGUGAUCGGCCACACUGGGACUGAGACACGGCCCAGACUCCUACGGGAGGCAGCAGUAGGGAAUCUUCCGCAAUGGACGAAAGUCUGACGGAGCAACGCCGCGUGAGUGAUGAAGGUUUUCGGAUCGUAAAGCUCUGUUGUUAGGGAAGAACAAGUGCAAGAGUAACUGCUUGCACCUUGACGGUACCUAACCAGAAAGCCACGGCUAACUACGUGCCAGCAGCCGCGGUAAUACGUAGGUGGCAAGCGUUGUCCGGAAUUAUUGGGCGUAAAGGGCUCGCAGGCGGUUUCUUAAGUCUGAUGUGAAAGCCCCCGGCUCAACCGGGGAGGGUCAUUGGAAACUGGGAAA